rnacentral:lncRNA from 1 species
CCUUGAUAGGGGAGUCUGGAGGUCUAGAAUCAGGAUCGUAGGCUAGGGGCUCAUAGAGUUCACCGUACGCCUUUUCCGGGGUUGGGUGUGGGAUAGUAGGGUUACCCAUAGGUGAUUAGUGUUUUAGCUUAUGUCCCCAGAGGGUUGUUAGUAUGGUAGUUACUGCUUGUUAUUAUUGCAUGCGACUGUAUUUAUGUUGCUUAUGUUUCCAUAAUUAUUUACGUUAUUCCUGCGGGAGUACUUGUGCUUUAUUAUUUUGUUUUGUCUUGCUUGUGUUUCUAUUUUUACCUUUGUUUCUUAAUGCAGCUUUCCCUUUUUAUCCUAUACGCCGAGGGUCGACUGGAAACAGCCUCUCUGCCCUUUCGGGCAGGGGUAAGGCUCGUCUUCAUAUUACCCUCCCCAGACCCCACCUGGUGGGAAUAUACUGGGUAGUUGUUGUUGUUGUUG